AAACCUGUUUUAUUUAUUUUUUUUGGUGCCAGGGAUCGAACUUGGGACCUUGCAUUUGCAAGGUAGGCACUGGAACCACUGAGCUAAAGCCCCAGCCCCUCACACCUGAAACCUGUUAAGUGGGAAGGCGACCUCCGCUCCUCGCAUGCUGUAGGUCAGAUCGAAUGUAGAGCUAUCCAUGAGCCUGCUUUGGAAUGGGGAUCUAGGGCUCAGCCACUGAUGUUCAAGGUGCUGCAGAAGAAUGAACUUGGGUUCCUCCUGUGGAGAAAGAAAGAGGAAGGAAGGAAGUUCACUGAGCAUUGCCAUUUUCCAUGUCAGUGGCUUGAGUCGUUGUAAUGUAGCAGAGGUGAGCCGACAGAUGCACG
rnacentral:lncRNA from 1 species